UACGAAGGGGGCUAGCGUUGUUCGGAAUCACUGGGCGUAAAGCGUACGUAGGCGGACCGUUAAGUCGGGGGUGAAAUCCUGGGGCUCAACCUCAGAACUGCCUUCGAUACUGGCGGUCUCGAGUCCGGGAGAGGUGAGUGGAACUCCUAGUGUAGAGGUGAAAUUCGUAGAUAUUAGGAAGAACACCAGUGGCGAAGGCGGCUCACUGGCCCGGUACUGACGCUGAGGUACGAAAGCGUGGGGAGCAAACAGG
rnacentral:rRNA from 1 species